rnacentral:rRNA from 1 species
CAGUAGCCGCGGUAAUACGAAGGGUGCAAGCGUUAAUCGGAAUUACUGGGCGUAAAGCGUGCGUAGGCGGUGAGUUAAGUCUGCUGUGAAAUCCCCGGGCUCAACCUGGGAAUGGCAGUGGAUACUGGCUCGCUAGAGUGUGUCAGAGGGUGGUGGAAUUCCCGGUGUAGCGGUGAAAUGCGUAGAGAUCGGGAGGAACAUCAGUGGCGAAGGCGGCCAUCUGGGACAACACUGACGCUGAGGCACGAAAGCGUGGGGAGCAAACAGGAUUAGAUACCCCUGUAGUCCCUGUCUCUUAUAC